GAUAGAAUUGUUUUCGUUUCUCAUUUAAUCCACAUUUAGUGAGUAUUUACUAUGUAACAGCACCUGAUAGUUGGACCAUGACCACUGAAGGCGGCAGCCUAGAAGAGGCAGUCACACAGGUAAACAAACAAGCAGAACAGGAUCAGGUGAUGGAAGAACCUAAGACACAGCAUCUGAGAUGCCUGCCUUUAGGACGCUCAUGAUUCGGAAGAGUGCAUAGACCUGCGCAGGCACGCAUAGAGGCACAUUUGGACAGUGAUAGAGACACAUUCGGUGCAAGGUAGCAACAUGCAGGAGGACUGGUCAGCAAAGUCAACUCCACAAAGAGAUUCAAGGAGGAACAUAAAGAGAAAGAAAAUGGUCCAAAGAGAAAGAAAAAGCCUGAGAAAUAGAAGAGCUCAUUUUCAUACCUCUUCACUUUUGCAUGGAGGGUCUUAUCGUAUGUAAAAUAUCAGAAAUAAGAAAUGCAAAAGCAGAAACUGACUCUGAAAAAAAAAACAGAAGUACAAAACAAAACAAUUCACAUGAAAAUGAGUAUGAAGACAUAAAGGAGAGUUGUAAAAAAAAAGAUUAAAAGAGACAUCAGCUACAGACCUUUCUGAGCACAAACAUCGUACAAAUUGGAAGAUUUCAGAUAUCUCAGAAAACAAAGAAGCCUGAUUGAAGCUCUCUCUGCCCCAGGAUGACACAGAGGCCAACAAGUGCAUUAACUCUCCUUAAAAGCAGCUCCAAAUUACAAAAGAAACACUGUUCAAAGACAAAAUAAAAAUUCAGGGACUUAUCCUAGAGAACA
rnacentral:lncRNA from 1 species